UACGAAGGUGGCAAGCGUUGUUCGGAUUUACUGGGCGUACAGGGAGCGUAGGCGGUUGGAUAAGCCCUCCGUGAAAUCUCCAGGCUUAACCUGGAAAGUGCAGAGGGGACUGUUCAGCUAGAGGAUGGGAGAGGAGCGCGGAAUUCCCGGUGUAGCGGUGAAAUGCGUAGAGAUCGGGAGGAACACCAGUGGCGAAGGCGACUUCCUGGACGGUGACUGACGCUAAGACGCGAAAGCGUGGGGAGCAAACAGG
rnacentral:rRNA from 1 species